UUCUGUUCUAUCUCUGAGAGUUCCCCAGUAAGACAGAGCCCCAGUCGCCCAUCAUGUGUUAGCCAAGGUGCUGUAAGCCUCCAGCUGUCUGCAGCCACGUCAACCGACACUGCCACCAUUCCUGGCUACAAGGAGGAAGCCAAGCUGUAGGAGGAAAGAAUAGGACCAACUCACAGAGGAGCUGAGCCAAUUCAAAGGGGAGGGAAGGCAUGGCAGG
rnacentral:lncRNA from 13 species